rnacentral:tRNA from 6 species
GCCCUGGUGGCGGAAUUGGUAGACGCGCACGGUUCAGGUCCGUGUGCCGCAAGGCGUGGAAGUUCGAGUCUUCUCCAGGGCACCA